CUAAGAGAGAACCGUGACUGUGUUCCAUCACAUCUGAGAGGAAACCGUGACUGUGCUUUUCUCCUGCCUCUGGUGUCAACAUGAAGUCAAUGGUUGUGGUGCUGUUUUUGCUGUCCUGUGGUGUUUGCGCACUGAGGGCCGCUGAUGACAAACAGUCUCAGAAGCUGGUGCAGAAUCCAAACCCAGUGAUAAUAAAGAAUCCAAAAGAUACGGAGAAGCCAUCUCACCCCAUAGUGCACAAACCAAAAGAUACGGAGAAGCCAUCUCACCCCAUAGUGCACAAACCAAAAGAUACGGAGAAGCCAUCUCACCCCAUAGUGCACAAACCAAAAGAUACGGAGAAGCCUUUUCACCCCAUAGUGCACAAACCAAAGGCUACGAGGAAGCCUUUUCACCCCAUAGUGCACAAACCAAAGGCUACGAGGAAGCCUUUUCACUGCAUAGUGCACAAACAAAAGGCUACAAGGAAGCCUUUUCACCCCAUAGUGCACAAACCAAAGGCUAAUUGGAAGCCUUUUCACCCCAUAGUGCACAAACCAAAGGCUACAGUGAAGCCUUUGAAACCCAUAGAGCACAAACCAAAGGCUACAGUGAAGCCUUUGAAACCCAUAGAGCAGAAGACCACCAAGAAAAUUAAGUAAUGUCUGAAGACCAACAAUAAUGGUAAGAGAAGUUUGUUUUCCUUGAUAUCUAUGUGUUAUCCACACCCAUGAACCCACACAGGUUUUUAUUCUGAAAACCAGGAAUAUCAUGACACAGCUCCAUGUUCUGCACCCCUAACCUUUGACCUUUUUGUCCCUUCACCAGGCAGGAUUUCAGCUACCUAGAGAGAGAAGCAAAUGGAUAUUGGCCUUUCAGCUGUCAUUUAAAAUGUUGUGUGAAGUACAUUGCCUUUCACAUUGUACACUGUUCUGUUUUAACCAAUCAUAUAGCGAUAUUCUAGCCAUGGGAGGAAAUUCUAAAGACCAUACAGCUUAUUAUUAUUAAAGAGUAUGAUUGCAUUCUGGGGACUUUCCCAUACGCAUUUACAUGUAUUUGUAUGACUAAUAAAGAACUACAGAAUAAAGUC
ensembl:lncRNA